GAUGAACGCUGGCGGCGUGCCUAAUACAUGCAAGUCGAGCGAACGGACGAGAAGCUUGCUUCUCUGAUGUUAGCGGCGGACGGGUGAGUAACACGUGGAUAACCUACCUAUAAGGCUGGGAUAACUUCGGGAAACCGGAGCUAAUACCGGAUAAUAUUUUGAACCGCAUGGUUCAAAAGUAAAAGACGGUCUUGCUGUCACUUAUAGAUGGAUCCGCGCUGCAUUAGCUAGUUGGUAAGGUAACGGCUUACCAAGGCAACGAUGCAUAGCCGACCUGAGAGGGUGAUCGGCCACACUGGAACUGAGACACGGUCCAGACUCCUACGGGAGGCAGCAGUAGGGAAUCUUCCGCAAUGGGCGAAAUCCUGACGGAGCAACGCCGCGUGAGUGAUGAAGGUCUUCGGAUCGUAAAACUCUGUUAUUAGGGAAGAACAUAUGUGUAAGUAACUGUGCACAUCUUGACGGUACCUAAUCAGAAAGCCACGGCUAACUACGUG
rnacentral:rRNA from 1 species